rnacentral:tRNA from 1 species
AUUUAAGUAAUUUAAUUAAAAAUAUUGACUUGUGGAGUCAAGUAUAUGAGGUAAUAGAUUCAUCUUAAAUU